rnacentral:rRNA from 1 species
GGCUCGGUUGAGCGGUCGGCCGCAAGGUCUGUACUGCUCUGGCUGGGUCUUUCUUUCUGGAAAGCCAGCAUGUCCUUUACUGGGUGUGCUGGUGAUCCAGGACUUUUACUUUGAAAAAAUUAGAGUGUUUAAAGCAGGCCUAUGCUUGAAUACAUUAGCAUGGAAUAAUAAAAUAGGACU